AAAGGAAUAGACGGGGGCCCGCACAAGCGGAGGAACAUGUGGUUUAAUUCGAUGAUACGCGAGGAACCUUACCUGGGCUAGAAAAAGAUUGACCGGCUUGGAAACAGGCUUUCCCUUCGGGGCAAUCUAUUAGGUGCUGCAUGGUUGUCGUCAGCUCGUGCCGUGAGGUGUCGGGUUAAGUCCCAUAACGAGCGCAACCCUCAUUGUUAGUUACCAUCAAGUAAAGUUGGGGACUCUAACGAGACUGCCGGCGUAAGCCGUGAGGAAGGUGGGGAUGACGUCAAAUCAGCACGGCCUUUAUGUCCAGGGCUACACACGUGUUACAAUGGCCAAUACAGAGGGCAGCAAUACCGUAAGGUGGAGCAAAUCCUAAAAGUUGGUCUUAGUUCGGAUCGGAGUCUGCAACUCGACUCCGUGAAGCUGGAUUCGCUAGUAAUCGCAGAUCAGCCAUGCUGCGGUGAAUACGUUCCCGGGCCUUGUACACACCGCCCGU
rnacentral:rRNA from 1 species